GCCCAGCCUACUGAAGAAAAAAAUGUGUGAAGCACUCAAGUGCAUGACGCAGCAUGUGAUUUUGCCUGUGACGUUGGUUCAGGUGAGGACUCUGGAGCUGACUGAGGACAACAUCUGGUAGACGCCAGUUCUACAAACAAGUAGCUAUUACUCCUCGGUCUGAAGUCCUAGAAAAAAACUAAAAUGAUCUGCUUGAAGGUAAUUUUCUCUUUGGUACAUGAUUUGUGUUAGUAAAAGGCCUGAACUUGGCAUUGCUAGCUGGCUUCUGACUUAUUCAUCCUACUUUACUAGCAACUGGCAAGUGUGGGAGAUAAGCAGCUGUGCUGAAGGAGAAAGAACAUAAAUACAUUGGCUAUAGGAGGAGAAGAUGACAUCUGGUUCUAAUAGAGCAAAAGGCCACGGUGGGAGGCAUAGCGACCUGAUGUAAGGGCUGUCGUCGUAAUAAAACCAAGGUGCAGCGGAGGAUGUGUAUUCAUUUUUGAAUAUUUAAUCAAAUGAACCACUAUAAACAAAACACUAAACAGCAACGACAGCAAACAGUCCUGUCUGGUCAAAAAUGAACAAAACAGAAAACAAUCACCCACAAACACCAAAGGAAAAAACAGGCUACUUAUGUGUGACUCCCAAUCAGCAACAACAAACUACAGCUGUGCCUGAUUGGAAGCCACACGGCCAAAAUCAACGAAACAAACCAACCUAGAAAAAGGCGCCAGGGCGGCCCUGGCGGCUCCGGGCUGGCGGUCGGCUCUGGCGGCUCUGGCCCAGGAUUCACCAGGCCUGGGCGCAGGCACAGGACUCACCAGGCUGGGGAGACAUGAAGGAGGCCUGGCCCUGGGCGCAGGCACAGGACUCACCAGGCUGGCGGGCGGCUCUGGCGGCUCCAGCGGCUCCGGGCUGGCGGGCGGCUCUGGCGGCUCUGGCGGCUCUGGCCCAGGAUUCACCAGGCUGGGGAGACAUGAAGGAGGCCUGGCCCUGGGCACAGGACUCACCAGGCUGGGAAGACAUGAAGGAGGCCUGGCCCUGGGCGCAGGCACAGGACUCACCAGGCUGGCGGGCGGCUCUGGCGGCUCCGGACAGGCGGGCGGCUCUGGCGGCUCUGGACAGGCGGGCGGCUCUGGCGGCUCCGGACAGGCGGGCGGCUCUGGCGGCUCCGGACUGGCGGGCGGCUCUGGCAGCUCCGGCGGCUCUGGCCCAGGACUCACCAGGCUGGGGAGACAUGAAGGAGGCCUGGCUCUGGGCGCAGGCACUGGACUCACCAGGCUGGGGAGACCCACUGGAGGCCUGGCCCGUGGAGGAGGCACAGGACUGACCAGGAUGGGGAGACCCACUGGAGGCCUGGUCCGUGGAGGAGGCACAGGAUAAACCGGGCUGUGGGGAGCACUGGAGUUCUGGUACGCAGGCUCUUUACCCACACUCCAGGCUGAAUGCCCACUUUGGCCUGGCACGGGCGGAGUGCAGGCAUUGGGCGAACUGGGCCCUCCCAACGCCCUGGAGACACAGUGCGCAGAGCCGGUGCAGGAUAACCUGGACCGAAAUGCGCACUGGAGACCAGACGCGCUGAGCUGGCACAAUCCGUCCUGGCUCGAUGCCUGCACUCGCAUGGCACUUGCGGGGGGCUGGCCUAUAGCGCACCAGGCUAUGAACGUGCACUGGAGACACCGUGCGCUUCACAGCAUAACACGGUGCCUUACCAGUACCACGCUGCUUCCGGUAAGCAUGGGGAGUUGGCUCAGGUCUACCGCCUGACUCUGCCAAUCUCCCCGUGUGCCCCCCCCCCCAAAAAAAAUUGGGGGCUGCCUCUCAUGCCUGUUGCACUCCCUCGCUUCAUACCAGCGCCUCUCAGCUAUCGCCGCCUCGAUCUCCCACUGCGGGCGGCGAUACUCCCCAGCUUGAGCCCAUGGUCCUUUACCGUCCAGCCUUUCCUCCCAAUUCCUCGACUCCCGAUAGCUCCUCUGCUGGUUCUUCUCCUUGCGCUGCUCCUUCCUCCGCUACUUGGUCCGUUUUUUGGUGGGUGAUUCUGUAACGGCCGUCGUUAGAGAAAGACCACCCAAUGUAACACCCUGGCCUAACCAAAAUAACAAACAAAAAAAAACCUUUCUAUGGCCAGGGCAUUACACCAGACAAAUGUACUUGAGUUAUGCAGAAAGGGCCCCAAAUACAUUCAAGAUAGUCAGACAAAGGGGCACAGAGAAAAGGAUGGCGGCAAGAGGACCACACAUGAGCAUGCAAGGCAUGCAGUAUUUUUUGUAUCAACAUAAGGAGAUCUAAGAGAAAUGACUUAAUUUACAUAAAGGAUUUACCAUAUGAAAUGUAUGUAUAAAAAGCAGAGCCGGGCUUGGGGAAGUCAGUUGUUUCCGCGGACCAGCUCGGCUUUGCUACUCUGUAUUAAAGUCUAUAUUGAAUUUACAAGUUCUUGUAAAAGUGUUAUCUUUUAAGACUAUUUUCCACAACACAAGCUGUAUCAGGCAGCUUUAGAUGUGAUGAGAAAACAAAUAGCUAUAUUUGCUAAGCUAUCCAUCUGAUUGAUAAAGUUGAUAAAAAUCCCAUUAUCUAGAUUGAUACUGCUGGGGGACAGUUAGCUAAUGUUACCUAACUCCCACUAUCAGUCUGAGGUCACCACCUUAGCUAGCUAAGUGGGCUGUAGCUAGGUUUCUACAAAAUAACAACUAUAUAUUUGCUAGCUAUAAUACUGACUAUUGUGGACAAUUUUUGUCAAAAUACUUUGUUCCCCUGCCUGUUUAUUGUUGCACUUGUGACUGAAAAAGUUGCCCCUCUUGUUUUCACCGCAAAUAUGCUGUUGUUAUGGUAUAAUUUGUCUGAAGAGGCUUGUGAACAUUUACGUUAGUGUUUCAUUAGUUAAUUAAGUUACUAGCUGACUAUGCUAAUUCUUGUUCAUGUUUUUGGUGCUGUUGCAUUUCAGAUAAAGACGGAGUUGGAUCACUAGAAAGCAGCAUGCAGACAGACCAGGGCCUGUAUUCACAAAGCAUCUCAGUCGGUGUACUGAUUUUAGGAUCCGUUUUUCCUUUUAUAUCACAAUUAAUGAUUACAUUGACAAGGGGGAGCUGGUCCUAGAUCACUAUUCCUACUCUGAAGACACUCGGUUCGGUAAGAAAGCUGCUGCCAAAUACCUUGCACAGCAGUCUUUCACCACAGGAUCCUAGAGGUAUUACAGUCAAUGUUUCUAAACUAAACAUUUGUAUGUGCAUUUCCAUAUCAAUGAUACUAACAAAAGGGUUGAAUAGUUCAGCAACAUGUGCAGUGAACAUGGCUUUGGUGAUGAAAGAAACAUUUGAAAAAUGGCGUCGAUAGAGAAGGCAGCCGUGGUUCUAGCCCCCAGCAACUUUGCAGUAUUUUGUUUUUUAUGUGUUUUUUCUUACAUUAUUAGGCCAGAAAAUGUUUUGUGUUAUUACAUACAGCCGGGAAGAACUUUGGAUAUCAGAGUGGCGGUGCUGUAACUCACCAGCAUUACCAGCAUUAUGACCAGGAAUACGACUUUCCCGAAUCGGAUCCUUUGUUCGUACCCCCCAGGCAAUUCAACUUAUUCCAGAGGCUGACCCAAAACAUCGUCGGCGGAGAAGAGGUACUCGGAGUGGACUUCUAGUCCAACUCACAAGGCGUGCACACCACCCACCGCUUCCGAGUACAUUACUCACUAAUGUUCAGUCUCUGGAUUUCCUUCCAGAGAGACAUCAGGGAUUGUAACAUACUCUGUUUCACAGAAACAUGGCUCUCUCAGGAUUUACUGUCUUAGUCCGUAAAGCCAGUGGGUUCUCAGUUUAUCGCUCAGACAGGAAUAAAUAUCUCUCCGUGAAGAAGAAGGGCGGGGGUGUAUGUUUCAUGAUUAACUACUCAUGGUGUGAUUGUGAUAACAUACAGGAACUCAAGUCCUUUUGUUCUCCCAACCUAGAAUAACUCACAAUCAAAUGCUGACCGUAUUAUUUCCCAAGACAAUUCUCUUCGGUUAUUGUCACAGUCGUGUAUAUUCCCCCUCAAGCUCGUACCAUGACGGCCCUAAAAUAACUUCACUGGACUUUAUGUAAACUGGAAACCACAUAUCGUGAGGCCUCAUUUAUUGUAACUGGGGAUUUUAACAAAGCAAAUUUGAGGAAAGUGCUACCGAAGUUCUAUCAACACAUUGACUGUAGUACUCAUGCUGCUAAAACACUCAACCACUGCAAGGCCCUCCCCCACCCUCCAUUCAGCAAAUCUGAUCAUGACUCCAGUUUGCUCCUCCCUUCCUAUAGGCAGAAACUCAAACAGGAAGUACCUGUGCUAAGGAUCAUUCAAAGCUGGUCUGACCAAUCGGAAUCAAAUCAAAUGUAUUUAUAAAGCCGAUAUCUCAGCUGAUAUCUCAAAGUGCUGUCAGAAACCCAGCCUAAAACCCCAAACAGCAAGCAAUGCAGGCGUAGAAGCACGGUGGCUAGGAAAAACUCCCUAGAAAGGCCAGAACCUAGGAAGAAACCUAGAGAGGAACCAGGCUAUGAGGGGUGGCCAGUCCUCUUCUGGCUGUGCCGGGUGGAGAUUAUAACAGAACAUGGCCAAGAUGUUCAAAUGUUCAUAGAUGACCAGCAGGGUCAAAUAAUAAUAAUCACAGUGGUUGUCGAGGGUGCAACAGGUCAGCACCUCAGGAGUAAAUAUCAGUUGGCUUUUCAUAGCCGAUCAUUCAGAGUAUCCCUACCGCUCCUGCUGUCUCUAGAGAGUUGAAAACAGCAGGUCUGGGACCGGUAGCACAUCCUGUGAACAGGUCAGGGUUCCAUAGCCGCAGGCAGAACAGUUGAAACUGGAGCAGCAGCAUGGUCAGGUGGACUGGGGACAGCAAGGAGUCAUCAGGCCAGGUAGUCCUGAGGCAUGGUCCUGGGGCUCAGGUCGUCCGAGAGAAAGAAAGAAAGAAAGAAUUAGAGAGAGCAUACUUAAAUUCACACAGGACACCGGAUAAGACAGGAGAUAUACUCCAGAUAUAACAGACUGACCCUAGCCCCCCGACACAAACUACUGCAGCGUAAAUACUGGAGGCUGAGACAGGAGGGGUCGGGAGACACUGUGGCCCCGUCCGACGAUACCCCCGGACAGAGCCAAACAGGCAGGAUAUAACCCCACCCACUUUGCCAAAGCACAACCCCACACCACGGGUGUGGAAUCCACACUUCAGGGUUGUUUUGAUUUUAAUCGAUUUUUUAUUAUUAUAUAUAUACGUAUUUUACCUUUAAUUAACUAGGCAAGUCAGUUAAGAACAAAUUCUAUUUUACAAUGACGGCCUAGGAACAGUGGGUUAACUGCCUUGUUCAGGGGUAAAACGACAGAUUUUUACCUUGUCAGCUCGGGUAUUCGAUAUAGCAACCAUUUGGAUCACUGGCCCAACGCUCUAACCACUAAGCUAUCUACCACUCCAGUUGGACUGGGAUAUGAUCCAGGUAGCCUCAGAGAAUAACAUUGACGAAAAUACUGAUAUGGUUACUGAGUUUAUCAGGAACGGUAUAGGAGAUGUUGUACCUACUGUGACUAUUAAAACCUACUCUAACCGGAAACCGUGGAUAGAUGGCAGCAUUCAUGCAAAACUGAAAGCGCGAUCCACCACAUUUAACCAUGGCAAGGUGACUGGGAAUAUGGCAGAAUACAAAUAGUGCAGUUAUUCCCUCCGUAAGGCAAUCAAACACACAAAACGUCAGUAUGGAGACAAAGUGGAGUCGCAAUUCAACGGCUCAGACACAAGACGUAUGUGGCAGGGUCUACAGACAAUCAAGGACUACAUAAGGAAAACCAGCCACAUCGCGGACACCAACAUCUUGCUUCCAGAUAAGCUGAACACCUUCUUCGCCCGCUUUGAAUAUAACACAGUGCUACCGACGUGGCCCGCUACCAAGGACUGUGGGCUCUCCUUCUCUGUGGCCGAUGUGAGUAUGACAUUUAAGCCUCCCUAGCCACGUCCUCAGAGCAUGUGCAGACCAGCUGGCUGGUGUGUUUACAGACAUAUUCAAUCUCUCCCUAUCCCAGUUUGCUGUCCCCACUUGCUUCAAGAUGGCCAUUUUUCCUGUACCCAAGAAAGCAAAGGUAACUGGAACUAAAUUAUUAUCACCCCGUAGCACUCACUUCUGUCAUCAUGAAGUGCUUUGAGAGACUAGUCAAUGAUCAUAUCACAUCUACCUUACCUGACACCCUAGACCCACUUCAAAUUGCUUACUGCCCCAACAGAUCCACAGACGGUGCAAUCGCCAUCUCACUGCACACUGCCCUAUCCCAUCUUGACAAGAUGAUUACCUUUGUAAGAAUGCUAUUUAUUGACUAUAGCUCAGCAUUCAACACCAUAGUACCCUCCAAGGUCAUCAUUAAGCUCGAGGCCCUGGGUCUGAACCCCGCACUGUGCAACUGGGUCUUGGACAUCCUGAUGGGCCGCCCCCAGGUGGUGAAGGUAGGAAACAACACCUCCACUUUGCUGAUCCUCAACACUGGGGCCACACAAGGAUGCAUGUUCAGCAACCUCCUGUACUCUCUGUUCACCCAUGACUGCGUGGCCAAGCACGCCUCCAACUCAAUUAUCAAGUUUGCAGACGACACAACAGUAGUUCGCCUGAUUACCAACAAUGACGAGACAGCCUGCCCAACGCAUCAUCGAGAGAAAACUACCUGCCCUCCAGGACAUCUACCUCAGCCGAUGUCUCAGGAAGGCCAAAAAGAUCAUCAAGGACAACAACCACCCUAGUCACUGCCUGUUCACCCCGUUAUCAUCCAGAAAGCGAGGUCAGUACAGGUGCAUCAAAGCUGGGACUGAGAGACUGAAAAACACCUUCUAUCUCAAGGCCAUCAGACUGUUAAAUUGCCAUCACUAGCACAUUAGAGGCUGCUGCCCUAUAUACAUAGACUUGAAAUCACUGACCACUUUAAUAAUAGAACACUAGUCACUUUAAUAAUGUUUACAUAUUUUGCAUUACUCAUUUCAUAUGUAUAUACUAUAUUCUAUCCUAUUCUACUGUAUCUUAGUCUAUGCCGCUCUGACAUUGCUCACGCAAAUAUUUAUAUAUUCUUAAUUCCAUUCCUUUACUUUAGAUUUUUGUGUAUUGUGUGUAUUGUUGUGAAAUUGUUCGAUAUUACUUGUUAGAUAUUAUUGCACCGUUGGAUCCAGAAACACAAGCAUUUCGCUACACCCACAAUAACAUCUGCUAGACAUGUGUAUGUGACAAAUACAAUUUGAUUUGAUUUGAGGAAUGGAGACGAUGAUCUUGGCUGUGGGGCAGGCCUGUGUGGCUGUUAUAGCCACCUGGGUCAGAGCCUUAGUUACAUCCACCCUGCCUGUGCUGAGAUCAUUUGUCCCUGUGUGGAGGAUUAUGUGGGUCGAUGCCUUCAGUCUCUGCUCUGCCAGUAAUCCAAGGGCAGACUGCUUAGUUGGGCACCAGAUCUUCCUCACUCUUCUCCUUGGGAACAGCAGUCUUUCAUCAAGGUAUUUUCCACUGGAGUCACACAGGAUGACAAUGUUGUCCUCAGUCUGUUUCUCUCGCUGUGUGCUGCUGUUGUGGGUGGUGUCUGGUGUGACGCUCUCCAUGGGGCAGGGGUUGAAAAUGUGUGCUUGUGUGUUAGUGCUGGGGAAGUUGGUUGUGUGGCUGUCAAUGUUGGGUGUAUGCUGUUAAUGCAGGGUAUUGAAUUUGGAGAGGUUGUGGGUCUGUGUGCCAGUAGUGUGUGUGGUGUGUGUAGAUGUCUGUCUUCAGGGGGGACAGCAGGAUGGUCCUCAUCUCUUCCAGCUGUCUCUCCAGGGACUGGCUGUGCUGCUCCCUCCUGAUGAGUUCCUCCUUCGUGCGGUUCAGCUCCAUCCGCAGUUCUUGCUUUACAGCACAUAUGUUAUAUCUGUGAUGUUAGCUGGUUGCAGGUCUGUGGGUUAGGUCUGAUCUGGUUGCUGGAGAUGGUCUUUUCACUUUAGACAGUGUAGUCUCUCUGUUGUUCAGCCAGGCUGUCUGUCAGAGCGUUAACUCUGGGGGAAUGGUGUGAAUGAGGAGGUGGGGAAGGGGUACCCUGUUGUUGUUUCUGAUGUUGACACAUCUUCAUGGUUAGUCUUCAUGGGUAGCCUCCGGCUUAUCCUGUUUAAAGCGCCCUAUGGCCGCUUUUAGUAUUGGAAAUUCUCUUUUUGAACCCCUCCAGGCUGCUGUCACGACGUGGCCCUUUGGAGGUGUAUAUUGUGCCCCCCCCCACCACUCUCACUCUUACCACCACAAGUUUUAUGACUUUAUGACUUUUUCU
rnacentral:lncRNA from 1 species